rnacentral:lncRNA from 1 species
GAUAUAUUUAAGGUCCAAAUCAUAUUUGGCUCUUAUCACGAUUGUUAUAGAUAACCCUAUCAAGACCAUGGAACCCUAGUCCAUUACUUGACUUGGAGUAAUAGUAUAGAAACUUUGCUUAAAUGAUAGGACCAUUACUUGUCUUAUCAUUUAAGGCUACAAUUCAUAUAUUGUCAAUACAAGAUAUACAAUUGCUACUUCUAUUACUAGAUGGAAUUCAAUAACAAUUAUUGUG